GCCCGAUUAGCUCAGCUGGUUAGAGCGUCGUACUAAUACUGGGAUACCUGUAUGUGGUAAUGCGAAGGUCAACAGUUCAAUCCUGUUAUUGGGCA